GACGAACGCUGGCGGCGUGCUUAACACAUGCAAGUCGAACGGAAAGGCCCUGCUUUUGUGGGGUGCUCGAGUGGCGAACGGGUGAGUAACACGUGAGUAACCUGCCCUUGACUUUGGGAUAACUUCAGGAAACUGGGGCUAAUACCGGAUAGGAGCUCCUGCUGCACGGUGGGGGUUGGAAAGUUUCGGCGGUUGGGGAUGGACUCGCGGCUUAUCAGCUUGUUGGUGGGGUAGUGGCUUACCAAGGCUUUGACGGGUAGCCGGCCUGAGAGGGUGACCGGCCACAUGGGGACUGGGAUACGGCCCAGACUCCUACGGGAGGCAGCGGGGGGGAAUAUUGCACAAUGGGCGGAGGCCUGAUGCAGCAACGCCGCGUGCGGGAGGACGGCCUUCGGGUGGUAAACCGCUUUCGCCUGUGACGAAGCGUGGGUGACGGUAAUGGGUAAAGAAGCACCGGCUAACUACGU
rnacentral:rRNA from 1 species